GGGGAUAUAGCUCAGUGGUAGAGCGCAUGCUUAGCAUGUGUGAGGUCCUAGGUUCAAUCCCCAGUACCUCCA
rnacentral:tRNA from 2 species